rnacentral:rRNA from 1 species
UACGUAGGGGGGCAAGCGUUGUCCGGAUUUACUGGAGCGUAAAGAGCGUGUAGGCGGCCAAGCAGGUCCGUUGUGAAAACUGGAGGCUUAACCUCCAGACGUCGACGGAAACCGCGUGGCUAGAGUCCGGAAGAGGAGAGUGGAAUUCCUGGUGUAGCGGUGAAAUGCGCAGAUAUCAGGAAGAACACCAAUGGCGAAGGCAGCUCUCUGGGACGGUACUGACGCUGAGACGCGAAAGCGUGGGGAGCGAACAGG